UGGUUCAUUAGUGAUUAGUGUUAGUGGUUGGUUAGCAGUGAGUAGUUAGCGUUAAUGUUAGAUGGUGGUUAGUUAGCCAUUAGUGUCAGCAGUGAGUGUACGGUAUUGGCAGUGGGCAGAAGCAGCUCACUCUGUGAACUGUCCAUCCCUCGCCUAGAGGUUUCACAAUGACUGCCACGUUCACCACUUGUUCCCUUUUAGUUUCAACUGGAGCCUCAAAUUCCUAUCACUUCUCUUGUCUCUUCCAUGACAGGGAUUCGCAGACUGGGCCUACAAUGCAGGUUCCUGGGCAGAUCCUUUGACUGGCAAGCUCUUCCUCAUCUGAACCCGGGUGGCAGUCUAACUGCAGCCAAGAGCCCUGGCUGGGCCGGCGGUGCUGCCUGCCGGAGCUGGUGCUGGAGAUGGACGCAGGACCCCCGCGGCCUGACUAGGGCCCAGCAAGCAGAAGGGGCUGAUGGAGAAAGGGCUGCUGGUCUGGACAGCCUAGGGACUUCCAUGGCAUUCCUGCGAGGACUCUGGGUCUGCCCAGCCACACAUUUAUCCAUGUGCUGAGUGUCCACUGAGUACCUGGGGAACAGGCACCUUGCUAGAGUCUGAAAAUACAGCUACAAGCAACUCCCAAAUGUUCCCCUAUGCAAGGGGCUUAGGGUCUGGUUGGCAAUGGCCAAUUUUACAUGUCAAUAUGAUUUGGCCACAGGAUGCUCUGGUAUUGGAUUAGUGAUUGUUUGUGGGAGUGUCUGUGGCGGCGUUUCUGGAAGGGCUUAACAUUUGAAUUGGCAGACUGAGUAAAGUGAUGGCCCUACCCAGUGAGCAGGCACCAGCCAACCCUUGAAAGUCUGAAUAGAAAAAAAAAAAAAAGGGCAGAGGAAGUUGAGCUUGAGCUUUCUCUGCCUGGCUGUUGAGCUGGAACAUCUAUCUUCUGCCCUCCAGGAUCCUGGUUCUUAGGCCUUCGAAUAUACCACCUGCCCUCUGGGGUCUCUGGCUUGCAGAGGGCAGAUUGACUUAUCAGCCUCCCUAACUGCAUGGGCCAAUGCCAUACAAUAAAGCUCUU